GGAACCCUGACGGAGCAACGCCGCGUGCGGGAGGACGGCCUGUGGGUUGUAAACCGCUUUUCUCAGGGAAGAAGUUCUGACGGUACCUGAGGAAUCAGCAUCGGCUAACUCCGUGCCAGCAGCCGCGGUAAUACGGAGGAUGCAAGCGUUAUCCGGAAUUAUUGGGCGUAAAGCGUCCGUAGGCGGUGAGUUAAGUCUGCUGUCAAAGCCUGCAGCUCAACUGUGGAGUGGCAGUGGAAACUGAUUGACUAGAGUGCGAUAGGGGUAGAGGGAAUUCCCAGUGUAGCGGUGAAAUGCGUAGAUAUUGGGAAGAACACCAGUGGCGAAGGCGCUCUACUGGGUCGCAACUGACGCUGAGGGACGAGAGCUAGGGGAGCG
rnacentral:rRNA from 1 species